rnacentral:snoRNA from 1 species
CCUGUCCCUAGAGUCACUGCAGGCUUCUGUCAUAUGUGCAUCAGUAGGUGACAGAGAGAAAUGAGCCUAUCUCUACACUCAGUGUUCUGACCUGUGAACAUUGGAAUGAUUAGUGGCCUAACACU